rnacentral:rRNA from 1 species
UCCUACGGGGGGCAGCAGUGGGGAAUAUUGGGCAAUGGGCGCAAGCCUGACCUAGCAACGCCGCGUGAAGGAAGAAGGCUUUCGGGUUGUAAACUUCUUUUCUCAGGGACGAAGAAAGUGACGGUACCUGAGGAAUAAGCCACGGCUAACUACGUGCCAGCAGCCGCGGUAAUACGUAGGGAGCAAGCGUUAUCCGGAUUUAUUGGGUGUAAAGGGUGCGUAGACGGAGAAGCAAGUUAGUUGUGAAAUCCCUCGGCUUAACUGAGGAACUGCAACUAAAACUACUUCCCUUGAGUACUGGAGAG